rnacentral:lncRNA from 1 species
GUCCGCCAUGUACGGCCAUGGCGUAUUGAAGAGAGCGAGUGAGCGAGGCGCGGAGCGGCACAGCCUCCCACCCUCCCGGCUGGUGUCAGGGCCCGGACGGCGGGCUUUGCGCUCCGCCCCCAAGUCCCCGGCAGCGGCAGGCGAGUGGAGACCGAAACUCCGGUUCUCCAUGAUCCCGCUGGCCGGGGCCGUUUCCCCAGAGCGGAGAGGUAUCUGCUGCGCCUGAGAUGAGUAAACUGUCGUUUCGGGCGCGGGCGCUGGACGCCUCGAAGCCGCUGCCGGUCUUCCGCUGUGAGGAUCUGCCCGACCUGCACGAAUACGCCUCGAUAAACCGGGCCGUGCCGCAGAUGCCCACCGGAAUGGAGAAGGAAGAGGAGUCGGUACGUGUUAACUCCCCUGUCCGACCCGCCGCCAGGCCCGCGCCCUCCGCUGCCCGCGGCGGCGGCGGAGCAGCAGACCCACACAAAAUGGCCGCCAUCUUCUCUCCGCCGCCGACUCUCGGUCGCCGGCCGGGCCGGUCCCCCGCCUCCCCGGGUGCUCGGUCCCGGGCCGCUGAGGCCCGGCGGAGCACCCUCGAAGGCCUCCCGCCGUCCUCGGCCACUGGUACCCGGGUCCCGCGGAGUUCGGGGGCCCGAAAGGCACAAAGGGGUCACGUGACGAAGCCGCCGGCAGCCAUUUUGUGGUCUCAGUUCUUGGGUUGGGCCUUGUGCAUAUCCGGAGAGGGAAGCGGGCUGGGCGGCGGUGGGGGUGCAGCGAGCCGGGAGUGGGCCGCGCCUGCGGGCCCCUCGCAGGGCCGCUAGGUGGCGCUCUGGGGCCGUCGGGGCCUGGCAAAGGCUGCGGGCGCCGGCUCUGAGCGCACUUGCCAGAGGGCUCGGUGCAGUCCCCACGUGGAGCCUCCGAGGGGGCCUGUCAUGCUGACUUCAGGGCUCAGGCUGAUUUCUCUCCCCUUCCUAAAGUGAAGUGGCGAAGGUGCUCCGGGUCUGCCCAGACACCAUUAAAUUUAUUGAAGAUGAAACUCCCGGUACAGUCUUGCUUCCACCCGCAGUGCUGGCGGGAAGAAAAAAAAAAAAAAACCUGUCUCCUACUUUUUGAUCUUUGAGACAGUGUUGCAGAUUUGUUUACAGUACGUAACUCUGUUCUAAAGUCUGCAACUUUUUAGUUCUUUGUAAAUUAAAUUUAGGUUCGCCUGUUUUUAGAGGAAAAGAUAGAGAAUAAACGUUUCAAUGAAAGUUAAAGCUCUAAGGUCCUUUUGUAUCAAUAGCGUAGCUAAAGUUGAGUGAAUUCUUCACAGACAUCCUGACAUUAAGCUAUCCAAACUGGGUGGGCUGCAGUAGUUACAUUACUGUUUCUACAGCUAAUAGGUGUUUACUAUUGCUGUGGCCUUUACUUUGCUGUAGGAGGUGGGUCGGAACACAGAGAUAAUAGACUCUUCUGCACAUUUCCCCCAGAUGUUAACAUUAUAACUUGGAUGACUUCUAAUUCUAAGGACUUGCGUACAUUGGUUUCCAGGUACAGCCACUUAUACAGGUGCACUGUGUUGACAGUUGAAGGAAGUCGGGGAUUCCCGUGGACUGUGUGCUCCAAUUUUGUUGUGGAAAUUGUACUGUAAUACUUCUGCUGGUCCUGUAAGAAUUUCUAUUCUCUGUAAUGUUUUUCAAAAUAAAACUCUUUAAACUGCUUGGGUUAUUUAACCUUUUAAAGUAAAAUAGUUUUGACAGUCAAAUGUUACUUUGGGGUGGAGGGUCUGGAGUCUCACUUCACAGCUGAGUGCUAAGUGUAGAUGAGAUGUGUGGGGUAGUGUACUGACUUCUAGCAGCUUACUGUCUGUGAGAGCAGUGCUCUUUAUGUUGACUUGUAUCAACUUAGAGUAGAAUGGUGACAUUUUUAAAAUAAGUGAUUUGUUUUUUUUUAAUUAAAGUACUUGUGAUUGC